GAUCAUGGCUCAGAGUGAACGCUGGUGGCAGGCCUAAUACAUGCAAGUCGAACGGCAGCACAGCAGAGCUUGCUCUGUGGGUGGCGAGUGGCGGACGGGUGAGGAAUACGUGGGAAUCUGCCCAGUCGUGGGGGAUAACGUAGGGAAACUUACGCUAAUACCGCAUGCGCCCUUCGGGGGAAAGCCGGGGACCUUCGGGCCUGGCGCGAUUGGAUGAGCCCACGUCGGAUUAGCUAGUUGGCGGGGUAAAGGCCCACCAAGGCGACGAUCCGUAGCUGGUCUGAGAGGAUGAUCAGCCACACUGGAACUGAGACACGGUCCAGACUCCUACGGGAGGCAGCAGUAGGGAAUAUUGGACAAUGGGCGCAAGCCUGAUCCAGCCAUGCCGCGUGAGUGAAGAAGGCCCUCGGGUUGUAAAGCUCUUUUGUCCGGAAAGAAAAAGCGCCGGGUUAAUACCCUGGUGUCCUGACGGUACCGGAAGAAUAAGCACCGGCUAACUUCGUG
rnacentral:rRNA from 1 species